rnacentral:rRNA from 1 species
AUUGAACGCUGGCGGCAGGCUUAACACAUGCAAGUCGAGCGGGGUGAUGGUGCUUGCACUAUCACUUAGCGGCGGACGGGUGAGUAAUGCUUAGGAAUCUGCCUAUUAGUGGGGGACAACAUCUCGAAAGGGAUGCUAAUACCGCAUACGUCCUACGGGAGAAAGCAGGGGAUCACUUGUGACCUUGCGCUAAUAGAUGAGCCUAAGUCGGAUUAGCUAGUUGGUGGGGUAAAGGCCUACCAAGGCGACGAUCUGUAGCGGGUCUGAGAGGAUGAUCCGCCACACUGGGACGGAGACACGGCGCAGACUCCUACGGGAGGCAGCAGUGGGGAAUAUUGGACAAUGGGGGGAACCCUGAUCCAGCCAUGCCGCGUGUGUGAAGAAGGCCUUAUGGUUGUAAAGCACUUUAAGCGAGGAGGAGGCUCUUUUGGUUAAUACCCAAGAUGAGUGGACGUUACUCGCAGAAUAAGCACCGGCUGACUCUGUGCCAGCCGCCGCGGUAA